rnacentral:rRNA from 1 species
UACGGGGGGAGCAAGCGUUGUUCGGAUUUACUGGGCGUAAAGGGCGCGUAGGCGGCCUUCUAAGUCGGACGUGAAAUCCCUCGGCUUAACCGGGGAACUGCAUCUGAUACUGGAUGGCUUGAGAUUGGGAGAGGGAUGCGGAAUUCCAGGUGUAGCGGUGAAAUGCGUAGAUAUCUGGAGGAACACCGGUGGCGAAGGCGGCAUCCUGGACCAACACUGACGCUGAGGAGCGAAAGCCAGGGGAGCAAACGGG